rnacentral:tRNA from 1 species
GGGGUUGUGGCUCACUGGAAGAGUGCUCGCCUAGCACAUGUGAGGUGCUGGGUUCGAUCCUCAGCACCACA